rnacentral:lncRNA from 1 species
AUCUGCAUGGAACAAUGCUGCUUCUCUGCAUGACUAGAGUUUGUUUUCUCUUUGAAGAUAAUCUCACUAGGAUCAAGACCAUACCUGCUGGAGAGUCAGGACUCUGGAUUUCUGAUUGUUUUCAGGACAGCUACCCUCAUCCUAGGCUGAUCUGAGUUUCUGGGUCUUUCUCUGCCUGUUCUUUCCUCUCCCCUUCCCUUCCCUGCUGCAGAAAGUGUUUUAUGUGGGUGUCAGCAACAUCAGGACCUUUCAAGCCCCUUGCCCCAGUAUCAUCCCUGAAUGCAAAACUCACUCAGAGGCCUGGGGAAGAGAUUCGAACUCUGCUUUUCCUCUGCCACCUCAGGUGUGUUCCAGCUUACAAGACACUUUCACAGAAAAAAAGUUCAGGGAAUGGAAUUGGAAGGCAAAAAUAGCUGCUCGAUGCUGACUUGGCACAUUUGACUUUGACCAAAUCAUCCAGCGCCUCGUCCUUAGUACUCUGGUUUCCACAGAAUAAUCCUCAUGCAGUGAGUAGUGGAAGUCAGGAGGAAUAAACUGCCUAGAUGUCAUGAAGGGAAAACAAUGCACAAUAGACUUGUGCAGAAUCUAUUCCUGUCCGUUUCCCUGUGAAUCCAGAUUGCUGAACACUGGCCGAUGUCUGAGCUGUGGUUUCCCCCUGGAUUUGAAAUUUAGUUACUAGAAGACAAUGCUUUUGAAUGGCUUCUUGGCCAUGACUUUCACAGGGCCUGCUGGCUGUUGCCUGAUGAUUGUCUGAUAGGCCUAGCCCCUUGGCAAAGCAAUGUUUCAUUUGCAAAACUACGCUUGUCCGGUGCCUCCUGGGAACUGAAAGCCUGGCAUCAGCAGAGGAACGCAAAUUGGGCAAAUCACGGAUCUCCCAGGCGUGCGUUGCUUGGGGGCCAUGGUACACAGCACUGCUAAAAGUCUAGGACAAUCUAUGUGUUUUAGGAGCAAACCAGUGCCUUGCACUUCUAAGCUGUAUCCUUUGCUCCCUCCCUGAGAGGCAGCCGUGUGCUCUGGGCUUCCUAGCCUUGUAUGACCUCUGAAAAUAUGACCUGAAGCAGAUGGAUGCACUCACAUAAGAAACAUCACCUGUGGCCUUCAUCGAAAAUGGGCCUGCUGCUUGAAGAAGUUGGGCUCUUGGAGUUCUCUAGCACAGGGGCCAUGAAAAUCAAUGACUUCCUUGUUUGCUGACGGAGCAGAGGUAGAAUCUCUUGGUGUUUCCACGGAGAAAACACUGACCAUGAAGAGCCAAGAAAGAUGACAUGAUGAAGCCAUCAGGGGAAGCACCAAACAUCCUCAACUCUGCUCACCCAUGGUUUUCUCCCGCCCUCCCAGAGCUCCUCCUGCGUGAGUAAUGCAGUGUGUGCUGGUGCAGUGUCUCACUGAAAAAAGAAAGAAACCCUGAUUUGCAGCAUUGGCCAAUUUCUGUAGUGUAAAUACUCCCACCAUAGCAGAUUUCAGGUUACCAAGGGUUUCACAACUGGUUCACAAGUCUUGACUGUAAUGACCAGCUCAUGCAACUCCAGCAUCUCAUCAUCUCCGCCCUGUCCCAGAAAAUCCCCACAUCACACCCAGGCUGAAUAUCACUUUCAGCUUCUCAGUCAGAAGGAGAAGUGGUUAACUAUGCCAGGAUGGUAAUGACUAAAUAUCAGAAUGGUGAGUGUGGAGGGUCAGGAUGUCUGCCAAAUUGGAGAUGACUCUUCACUUCUCAAUCUUGGUGUCUCAUCUGGGGAAGCUGGAGGGAGACAUGCACAGCUUCUCAUGAACAGUCCUGGAAGCCCUUACCCCAAGGCCUCAUGGGGCUCUCUCCAGGGCUUGCUCUUUGUCACUCCUUUAAAAGCCUGUCAUUCAUUGCCAGAGAACAGAAGACUCCAUCCUAAGGCCAAGUUGAAAACGGCAGGCUUGGGAGCUGUCUAGACUCUGGGUCCUGGCUUUUGUCUUGGCUGGUGUCAAAAUGGACUCUUUAAAAACUGUCCUCAGGAAGAUUCCCCAUCCAACUCUGAACAGCCUGGACUGAUCUUUUUCUGAUUUUUAGGGGUCUUGUGAACAAGAGUCAGGUGGGCGGGCAGCUCUUGUAAAGCUGAACAUAACCAAAUUUGUCCAUAGCCUGUGACAGCAAAGAUCACAAAAUUCUUCCCUCCCCUUUAGGGCCUGGGAGUGACGCCGAACCAAGGGGAGGAUAGUGACCUAUUUUAUCUCCCAAACAUUGGGCAGCCAGUUGCAUUUGCAGAUUUAAAAUCCACCCACACUACUGCAGUUUCUGUUCUCCUGCCCCCCCGAGCAUACUUCUGGCUGGAGCUGGUUUUGUAAAGUGGAGUUGGCUGUGGGUGUGGGAGUCCUCCUCGGAGAGCCUGGUCUGACAGCCCCAGUCAACAGCCCUCCCAUGGGCAUUUGGGCUGCUCCAGUCCCGGCAGGUGCACAGCUCAGGGGAAUCUGGUUUUGUCUUGGUCUCAGCCAGGGAAGUCUAGUUAAAGAAAGAAAAGGUUGGCCGGGUGCAGAGGCUCACACCUGUAAUCCCAGCACUUUGGGAGGCUGAGAUGGGCAGAUCACGAGGUCAGGAGUUUGAGACCAGCAUGGCCAACAUGGUGAAACCCCGUCUCUACUAAAAAUACAAAAAUUAGCUGGGCGUGGUGGCAGAUGCCUGUAAUCCCAGCUACUUGGGAGGCUGAGGCAGGAGAAUUGCUUGAAACCAGAAGGUGGAGGUUGCAGUGAGCCGAGAUCGCGCCACUGCACUCCAGCCUGGGCAACAAGAACAAAACUCUGUCUCAAAAAAAAAAAAAAAAAAAAAAAGGUCUCGGUGGAAAUGGCCUUGAAUCUGGGGUCUCUCUCAUAUUCUAAUCACUCAAUCACUUAACAAAUACUUAUUGAGGGCCUACUAGGUGCCACACAUUGGAAGACAGUGGAGGGUGAAGCAGAGUCUGCCCUCAGGGAGCUUACAGUUUAGAUUACAGGCAAGACAGCCCUUACACACAUAAUUCCAGAUGAGUCAAUAAUGACCAGGGUGCAGAGGCUUUGAAGCAGAAGCAUAAGGUGCAAUGGGAGCAUAAAACAGGGAAGCCUAAUGCAGACUGAGGGGCCUGAGGAGGGUUCCUUGAGAAAGUGAGGUUGAAGCUGAGAACCUGAGGAGUGGUUUUCACGCAGUGCAAUUGAAGGUUGAAAGGGAAGAUCCUCCAAUGCACAAAGAAUUCAUGCUUCAGAAACAUUCUCUUCCUGAGGAUACAUUUGGGAAUUUAGGUAGAAAUUAACUGUCUUGCCUUCAUAUACAGUGUAGUGGAGACCACUGUAGGUCUCCAACUUUUUGUCUUUUCUUAAUAACAAGUCCCCAGUUUUUGCUAGGUACAUAGCUACCCAGAGAAAAGAUUAUGUGGCCACCUUACUAUGUUCUGGCCAAUGAGAUGUCAGCAGAGGUAAUAUGCGGGGCCUCUGAGAAGGCCCUUUCCUGCUACCUGGUACCUGGCUGGAGGCUGAAAAGCCAUUAGGGACGAGACAUGCUAAGGUUGGAGGGUCAGCGUAUUACAUGGAGCCUCCUUCCCUGAUGGCCUUGGGCUGCCAUACCAGCCCUGGAUUGCCUAAUUCCCGACUUCUUUUGUAAAAGGGAGAAAUAAGGGUCAAUUUUUAAAAAAGCAUCUAUUACUUUGACAUUUUCUGUCACACACAGCCAAAUAUAAUCCUAACUACUAUACACAGCUUCUUUUCAGCUUAAUGAAAAGAUCAUUGUUCUGCACUACACAUAAAUUACCUAUUUUAUAGAAAAGUCUGUGAUUACAAUAGCUAUUUUCCCAGCCUCCUUCAUCACCUCCUUGAUCCCCUUAUCCUCCCCUCGGCCCUGCACCUCCUCUCUUUCCUGACUCCCACACCAGAGCUAGGCCUGCCCUGGGCACUUUUGCCUCCAGGAAUGAAUGAGGCUCACAGCCCGAAGGUGCUCCAAGUCUUGGCUACCUUCCCUCAGUGGCUGCCCUGGCAAAGGUCCUGCCGCAGGGAAUCACACAAAGUCCAGCAAAGCAACUGGUCUUUCCUGUCCAUUCUCACCCUUCCCAAGAAAGUGUGAAGAGUUACAAUACUCAGGCAGAGCUGGAAAAAUCAUACCCUUUUAGAGAAUCCACAAGAAUUAUUGGAGGUGCUUUCACUGACCUGCCCUGCCUUGGGUUUUUCAAGCUACGCAGAUGGGUUUUUCAAGCUACGCAGAAUUUAAUGGAUCUGUUUCCCCAGCCUCUGGCUAACCAAAUCCAAAACAUCAAGAGUCAAGGGGAGAAGGUCAGCAUGUUUAGUUACAAACCUUUGGGGCUGUCUGGGGUGAUUGCAGGCCUCAGCAUGCUGGCUUUGGGUGCGGUGAGGCUGGGGAUGCAUAGAAUUCUGUCCCCUCUGCCCCUGCCUCAAAAAAAAAGUUGAAGGCUUAAACCCCAGUACCUCAGACUAUGGCCUUAUUUGGAGAUAGUCUUUACAGAGGUAAUCAAGUUAAAAUGUGGUCAUUAAGGUCAGCCCUAAUCUAAUAUAACUCCUGUCCUUAUGAAAAGGGGAAAUUUGGCCGGGUGCGGUGGCGGCUCAUGUCUGUAAUCCCAGGACUUUGGGAGGCCAAGGGGGCGGAUCACAAGGUCAGGAGUUUGAGACCAGCCUGUCCAAUAUGGUGAAACCCCAUUUCUACUAAAAAUACAAAAAUUAGCCAGGUGUAGGGGCACGCGUCUGUAGUCCCAGCUACUUGGGAGGCUGAGGCAGAAGAACCCGGG